rnacentral:rRNA from 1 species
UGCCUUAAGCAUGCAAGUCGAUCGCACUGAAAAUCGCAAGAUUUUUAGUGAGAGGCGGACGGGUGAGUACAAGCAAGGAACGUACCUUCUUUUGGGGCAUAGCUCGUCGAAAGACGGGGUAAUUUCCCAUGACCCUGAAAAUUUUAAAAAAUUUUUAGGGAAAGUGCGUAACUGCACGAAGGAAGAGCGGCCUUGCUCCUAUCAGCUAGUUGGUGGGGUAAUGGCCUACCAAGGCGAUGACGGGUAGGGGGCGUGAGAGCGCGACCCCCCACAAUGGCACUGAGACACGGGCCAUACAUCUACGGAUGGCAGCAACUGGGCUCUUGCAAUGGACGAAAGUCUGACCACGCGACGCCGCUGCCGAUGAGUAUCGUAGUCACA